CGGAAAUCCCCCAUUUAAGCGAAAAUCAUGAAUUCUCUCCUCGGAAAUCACCCAUUUAAGCGAAUAUCACGGGUUUUUAAUUGAGAAUCCCCCAUUUAAGCGAAAAUCACGCGUUUUCUCUUCGGAAAUCCCCCAUUUUAGCAAAAAUCACGAGUUUUCUUUUCGGAAAUCCCCCUUCUAAUCGGAUAUCACGUGAUUUAUCUCCGAGAAUCCCACAUUUAAGCAAAUAUCAUGCGUUUUCCCUUUGGAAAUCCCCCAUUUAAGCAAAAAUCAUGAAUUUUCUCUUUGGAAAUCCCCCAUUUAAGCAAAUAUCACGCGUUUUAUCUUCGGAAAUCCCCCAUUUUAGCGACAAUGUCGUGUUUCCUCUUCAGAAACCCCCCAUUUAAGCAAAUAUCACGCGUUUUCUCAUCAGAAAUCCUCCAUUUAAGCAAAAAUCACGAGUUUUCUUUUCCGAAAUCCAACUUUUAAUCGGAUAUCACGUGAUUUAUCUCCAAGAAUCCCACCUUUAAGCAAAUAUCACACGUUUCCUCUUCGGAAAUCCCCCAUUUAAGCAAAAAUCGCACAGUUUCUCAUCAGAAAUCCCCCAUUUAAGCAAAAAUUAAGCGUUUUAUCACCGCAAAUCCCGCAUUAAAGCGAAAAUCAUGCAUUUAUCUUUGAAAAUCCCCCAUUUAAGCGAUAAUCCUGUGUUUUCUCUUCGGAAAUCCCCCAUUUAAGUGAAAAUCACGAGUUUUCUCAUCAGAAAUCCCCCAUUUAAGCAAAAAUCACCUGUUUUCUUUUCGGAAAUCCCCCUUUUAAUCGGAUAUCACGUGAUUUAUCUCCAAGAAUCCCACAUUUAAGCAAAUAUCACGCGUUUUCUCUUCGGAAAUCCCCCAUUUAAGCAAAAAUCACACGGUUUCUCAUCAGAAAUCCCCCAUUUAAGCAAAAUUUAAGCGUUUUCUCACCGCAAAUCCAGCAUUUAAGCGAAAAUCAUGCAUUUUAUCUUUGAAAAUCCCCCAUUUAAGCGAUAAUCCUGUGUUUUCUCUUCGGAAAUCCCCCAUUUAAGCGAAAAUCACGCGUUUUCUCUUCAGAAAUCUGCCAUUUAAGUGAAAAUCACGUGUUUUCUUCUCAAAAAUCC
ensembl:lncRNA